GACGAACGCUGGCGGCGUGCCUAAUACAUGCAAGUUGAGCGCUGAAGGUUGGUACUUGUACCAACUGGAUGAGCAGCGAACGGGUGAGUAACGCGUGGGGAAUCUGCCUUUGAGCGGGGGACAACAUUUGGAAACGAAUGCUAAUACCGCAUAACAACUUUUAACACAAGUUUUAAGUUUGAAAGUUGCAAUUGCAUCACUCAAAGAUGAUCCCGCGUUGUAUUAGCUAGUUGGUGAGGUAAAGGCUCACCAAGGCGAUGGUACAUAGCCGACCUGAGAGGGUGAUCGGCCACAUUGGGACUGAGACACGGCCCAAACUCCUACGGGAGGCAGCAGUAGGGAAUCUUCGGCAAUGGACGAAAGUCUGACCGAGCAACGCCGCGUGAGUGAAGAAGGUUUUCGGAUCGUAAAACUCUGUUGGUAGAGAAGAACGUUGGUGAGAGUGGAAAGCUCAUCAAGUGACGGUAACUACCCAGAAAGGGACGGCUAACUACGUG
rnacentral:rRNA from 1 species